UCCGGUUUGGCACCGGCAGUCUCCGAUGAGUCCCCGGCAUUACCCGCUGGCAACAUCGGACAGGGGUUUCGCUCGUUAUAGGACUUGACCAAACAUCUCACGACACGAGCUGACGACAGCCAUGCAGCACCUGUGCAGGGCCCCGAAGGACACCGUAUCUCUACGGCUUUCCCCUGAUGUCAAGCCCAGGUAAGGUUCUUCGCGUUGCCUCGAAUUAAGCCACAUGCUCCGCCGCUUGUGCGGGUCCCCGUCAAUUCCUUUGAGUUUUAGCCUUGCGGCCGUACUCCCCAGGCGGGGUGCUUAAUGCGUUAGCUGCGGCACGGAUCCCGUCGAUAGGGACCCACACCUAGCACCCAUCGUUUACGGCGUGGACUAC
rnacentral:misc_RNA from 1 species